rnacentral:tRNA from 5 species
GGGGACGUAGCUCAGCUGGGAGAGCGCCUGCUUUGCAAGCAGGAGGCCAGGGGUUCGAAUCCCCUCGUCUCCACCA